GGGGAGUGGGAGGGGGCUGGGGGGACACAGGUGACACCCAUGGGGUGCUGGGAGGGGGAAUCUCCAGCUCUCCACCUGCCUACCUCUCCAUCUCCGUUCAUUCCCCUCUCUGCCUCCAUCUUUCCACCUCUCCAUCUGUCCUUCCACAGCCCCAUGCCUCCCUCUUUCCAUGUCCACCUCUCUGCCUCUUCACUCACUUGUGUCUCUCUGUCUCUAUAGAGGCAGAAGUGUCCACUUCUCCCCAUCUCUGUCCAUCUCUCCAUCUCUGUCCAUCUCAACCUCUCCACCUCUGUCCAUCCAUCUCUCCAUCCCUGUCCAUCCAUCUCUCCAUCUCAGCCUGUCCAUCUGUCCAUCCAUCUCUCCAUCCCCGUCCAUCCAUCUCUCCAUCUCAGCCUCUCCAUCUCUCCAUCCAUCUCUCCAUCCCUGUCCAUUCAUCUCUCCAUCUCAGCUUCUCCAUCCUUCUCUCCACCUCUCUCCAUCUCCAUCUCAACCUCUCCACCUGUCCACCCAUCUCUCUGUCUCUGCCCAUCCAUCUCUCCAACUGUCUGUCCAUCUCUCCAUCUCUGUCCACCCACCUCUCCAUCUCAGCCCCUCCAUCUCAACCUCUCCACCUCUGUCUGUCCAUCUCUCCAUCCCAAUUUCUCCAUCUCUGUCCAUCCAUCUCUCCACUGUCCCCUUUUUACCCAUCCCUCCAUCUCUCCACCUGCCUACCUCUCCAUUUCUUCACUUCUCCAUCUCCCACAUCUCUCUGUCUCCAUCUCUCCCCAUGUCCAUGUCCCUGUAUCUCCAUGUCUCCACAUUUCACCUCCACGUCUCCAUCUCCCCACAUCUCCAUCUCCCCAGUUCUCCACCUCUCCACCUUUCCAUCUUAGUCCAUUUAUGUCUCCACUUCUCCCUCCAUGUCCACAUCUCUCUCUGCCUAUCUUCUUACCUGCCCACCUCUCCGUGUCUCCAUCUCUACAGCUCUCCAGCUCUCCAUCCAUCUUCCCACAUCCCCAUCCCUCCAUCUUUCCACCUCUGCACCUCUGUCCAUCCAUGUCUCCACCUCUCCAUUUCUCCAACAUCUCCACCUCUUCAUGUCCCCAUCUCUCCCUACCUCUCCCUAUCCCUCUUCAUUUCUACUCCUCUCCAUCUCUGUCUAUCCAUGUCUCUGACUCUCUAUCUCCCCAUUUCUCUCCAUCUCCCCAUCCCUCUCCAUCUCUCCAUUUCUCCACCUUUCCAUCUCUCCAUUCCUUUCCAUCUCUCCAUCCCUCUCUCUCUCUCCAUCCCUUUCCAUUUCUCCAUCUCUCCAUCCCUCUCUCUCUCCCCACCUCUCCAUCUCCCCAUUUCUCUUCAUCUCUCCCCAUCUCUCUCCAUCUUUCCAUCUCUCCCCAUUUCUCUCCAUCUCUCCCCAUCUCUCCAUCCCUCCAUCUCUUUCCAUCUCUCCCCACCUCUCCCCACGUCCCCAUAGCCCCAUCCGCACCUCCCUCCCCAUCCCUCCUCUCCCCUCUCCUCCCGACAUCUCCCCUCUCCAUUCCCCCCCUCUUUCCCACCCCAGCUCACGCAGAACACACAGCCCACGUCCCCCCACCCCACUCCCCGCAGCUCCCCG
rnacentral:lncRNA from 1 species